GGGCUCCCGGCCCCGCCCACCGGGGGCGUAGGGCGAGCCACGCGCGAGGCUACUUUGCACCCUCGGUUGUAUGCGUCCUGCUUCCUGGCGGGCUGUUUAAUCCUCCUCUGCCCGUCCAUGGAGGGGGCCAGGCCCCCAUCUCCAGGAGAUGAGCUGGAGCUCUCGGUGAUCCAGGGGCAGCCAGACGAGCAGGCGCCUCUCAAUGGAGCCGUCCAGGGCAUCUUUGCUCUAGAGGAGGAGCCCUGCCCAGUUCAGGCUGACAAGGAAAGCCCUUGGAACUCCUGUAAUAAGAACUUGGUUGGAAAGUGCAAACUGUGGAUGGUCCUCGCCUCUGUGUUCCUAGGUCUCGUUAUAGUCAUCAUCAUAAGCUUAUGUCUGACUGGAGUAACCUAUGUCGAUGAGGAUGAAAAUGAAAUACUUGAAUUGUCGUCUAAUAAAACAUUCUUGGUCAUGCUAAAGAUUCCAGAGGAUUGUGUAACUGAAGAGAAAUUGCCUGACCUGCUCACGAAAAGGCUCACAGAUGUGUACAGUUCAUCACCAGCUCUGAGCCGUUACUUUACUUCAGUUGAAAUCAUAGACUUCAGUGGUGAAAACGCCACAAUAACCUACCACCUGCACUUUGGGUUUCCGUCGGAAGACCACAACUUUAUGAAGUACGUGAUGAGUGAGGAGUUGGUGCUGGGCGUUUUGCAGCAGGAUUUCCAUGAUCAGAACGUGUCCGGUUGUGAGACUCUGGGGCUUGAUGCAGCGUCCCUCCGGUUCUCUGAAUGAAGUGGUCGAGGUCGAUCUGUGUCUGAAAGCAGCACUCCACUGAACUUUGGGAUGAAGAGAAUUCAUUCCGUUUUACAGAAGAGAUCCUGUGAAUUAACGUAGAAGGACUCACAGUGACUACAGGGCUGGAGACGGCCCUUUUUCUCCUGAUUCUGCACAGUUAGAGUCUGGCACUACGUCCAGCAAAACAGCACCCAGGGCUGCCCCAGCUGGGUCCAGAUGGGGCGGGGUGACCAGGCGGCGGGUGGACCUGCAGGGCCAGGUCGCUGCUGGUCUUGAAGCACUCUCUGCCUCCACCCACACGUGGACACGCUGUCUUCAGGGUAAGGGUGGCCUUUGAGGCAGGAUACCGCCAGCCUGAGCCCGUGGCGAGAGAACGGGGAGAGGCGAGGUGAGGGAGAGCUGAGCCAAUCGCUCCCUGAAAUCCUCCGUCCCACCCCGAUGUCUGAUGUACCUCCAAGCAAGGCUGUGAGGAAAAGGCAGGCAUUUCACCAGACGUAAGCAGCAUGGUCUGUGUCUCCUUCCGUAGCCCAUAUCUCAGCAAACUAGACUUGGCACUCCAUCCAAUGUUAUGUAGAGCUACAGAAAUGAGGUGUGUGUUUCUCAUUUCCCUUCUGUGUAUAGUUCCUGCGACUCCUGAACACCUCUUAUGGAAACACGGGUCUAUGUUAGUUUUGAACACACGACUCUCAUUUUGGAUGGUUUCUCCAUUUAUAUUUUCAUCAACUUUCAUCAGAGAAUCAUUAAGACUGCUUACCGUCUGCUCUAGGUAGUACAUGUUGGUUUUUGUUGUCCAGAGUCACUAGCCUUCCUGUAGGAUUCAGUGUCUUCAGGCACUGAUUGUGUAUCUUAUUGAAGAUAGUUGUGAAACAGGAAGAACCACGCUCAGAAAUAAACUGCUGGAAGUUUAACGUCAGAUCCUUUUGGGGGGGGUGAGGGUGGAGUGAACAAGAGCGACUCUAUUGGUCGUCUACGGAUAUAGAAUUACCUGUCAUGAGGGAACAAAGUGUCUUGUUAGGAAAAUGGCUUUGCUGGAAAUUUCCAGGAGAGUUUUGUGGUCAUGUAAUGAGAGGUUCUCAGCCUCAGUAUCUCAGUUAAAUUGGCCCUGGGUGGACGUCAGGCUGGGGGCAGCUGCUUUCCGGGAUGUGUUGGAGUACCUGUUGGAGUACGAGUCUCCGGCUAGAUUUGCCUGGGGCUCUUUAUGACCCAGGACUCUGCAUAAUGUGAAUGUGCUUUGUUAUUUAACUAAAAGAUAACAUUGUGUUUCAUUUUGAGGAUAGUUCCUCCAACUAGUGAAACAGGUGAAUUUCCCUUCUUCCUCUUAUUUUAUAUGUCAAAUCUAAACCUUCGUGUUUGUACUUUUAAGAAAAUAAUGAAGAACUUUAUUUUUGCCUCCGCAUUGCCACGUUGACCUUUGUUUCAUAGGGGUUGACUCUCCAGGGCCAGGAUUUGGGUUGGCAUGUUCUCGCAGUAAAUGGUGUUGGAAGUGACCUUUUCAUUUCCCCAAGGGCAGCUUCCCCUUCUGAGUGAGUAAGAUUGAACUGGGCUGGCCUGUGUCUUCCUCUCCCUGUUCCUGUUGCUGGGGGAGCAGGGGGGAGCUGUCUCUCCUCUCCACUUCCCCCCCGGGGCCCCGCAGGCAGGACCAGGUGUCUGAAGAGCCUGGGGCUGGAAGGAAGGACUGUUUCCUGUCUGGAGGCAGGACAGGGUUUGAUUCUGAUCUUCCCUUCUCUUUUGGAAACCAUCAAGAUGCAGGCACCUUGUCUUGGGUUCUGACCACUUGAAAGUCAUAGAGAGGAUUUUUCGUGAGUUUGACUCUUCUGCCCAAAUGGUGUGGAAAGAGCUGAACUUUGUGACUAGAGCGUUUUGAGGUGUUUGGGGGAAAAUGGCACUUAUAUACUGUUGUGCUAUAGGAGGUGAAUUGAUUGCCAUCACACAUCUUCAUGAAGAGCAUAAUGAAGGUACAUAAGAAGGUUUCAACGAAUAUCUGUGGUAUCACUGAAAGGCUUUUUUUGUUUGUUUUGUUUUGUUUUGUUCUGUUUUGUUUUGUUUUGUUUUUUUGGCCACGUGGCUUGUGGGAUCCUAGUUCCUCGACCAGGGAUCUAACCCAGGCCCUCAGCAGUGGAAGAGCAGAGUCUUAACCACUGGACCACCAGGGAAGUCCCUCACUGAAGGAUUUGAGGAAAAAAACUGGUCUCUUCUGGGAGUCACUUAGGUACAGGCAGAAAGGAUACAGCCAGAUCAGGGGAACCUGCCCCUCCUCCCAUUACCGACAAAAAUUCUAGCCAUGUGUCCUAUUCUUUUCUCCCUUUCAAUUUAACUUAGUUCUGCAGAUUUUUUAAUGAUCUGUGUUGCAAAAGGUUACAGAAUAUACCAAUGAAGAAGAGGUUGAUAAUAAGGAAAAAAGCCACUGGUCUUAUUAGGGAGUCAGGCUCUGCACAGAUGAAACAGGAAACAGCAGGAAAAAAUAGGUGUUAAAAAUAAAUAAAGACAAACUGCAGGGUUGUGUGAUGGUCAGAGAAAAGGGUGAAAAGUGUAGUUUAAUGGGAGAAGGCUUUGCCUAGGAAGUAGGUCUGGAGCUGAACCUUGAAGCAAUGGUGGGAUUUGAAUAAACAGAUUUGCUUCCCUUUACACAUGUUUGUGUCUUAGGGUGAGCUUCAUGUUUUCUCCUUUCCCCUUUAGAUGUGGACUCUGGAUAUGGAUUCUGCCCUAUUCAGAGUCUGAUUAGUGCUGAGAAAAAUGGGAGAAAUCUCUAUGUCUUCCCUUCUCUGCUCCCAUUACUGUUUCAUUGUUUUAAAAUAAGCUAAUUCACACUAUUACUGCAUUGCUAGCAGCAAUCUUUCCUUUAUGAUUAAAGUUCAUUAUCCCCUUAGCAACAGAAGGCAGCCCUCUCAUCUUAUAGUUAGGAAACCAAGGUCUGGAGAGGUGGAAGGACCAGCCCAGAAUUCCACAGCGUUGGGGAGCAAAGUCCAGCCUAGUGGGCAACCACACAUGAUCAAUGGCCUCCAACUGGUGGGCACCCCAGGGUCUUGCUCAGUUCAGGCUUGGCUACCAUCUGGGAAUCCAUGAGGAGCACAGGUGGUGAGGGGGAAGGGAUGGGUUGAGAGCUGUGAUUAUCAGACUGUACAAGAGUCUCUGGGGUGAUAAUGACCACUCAGCGCUUCACCCAGUGCCUCGCGAAGGAUCCCUCUGUUAAGAAAGCGGGAGAGACUUACACAGAUCCAUUUAACUGUUGACAGAACCGAGACACACUCUGAUCAAGUGGCUUUCAAGUAGCUUUCUGAACUCAGUAGGUUGGCUUGGAAAAGAACAGAGUCAGAUAAAUGUAAACAAUCUCUUUUUUCUCUGAAGGCUCCUGUGGAAUCUUGGGGACUCAACUUUCCUGUUCUACCUAUGCCUUUCCAUUCCUGAGCAUAUUUGAAGCAUCUGUCACCCAAGGUUGUCUUAAAAACAGCCAAUGAGUCAAAGGACGCUCUGCGAAGGACACUGCUUAGAGAUGUGGAGUAAGAGGAACGCCACAGGUGCCCACCCGGAAGGCUGUGAGUGAGGAGCUGGGUCUACACACGUGUGGAAUGAGGACUCCCCUUUGGGUGCACUUACUACGAUGGGUGAAGCUUCCCUGUGACUUCAGAGGACAGUCAUGUGGACAUUUUAUAGGAAGAACCUGAACAGAGGAGCAGGGGGCCAGGGAGUUCUUCCCACCACUGAGUAGAAUGGCCCAUUUCUUAAAGCCACUUAGAACCAAAGAUGGUCACUUCCUUCUCAAAGAGUGGGUGUUUGGGAUAGUUGGUUGAUCUUUGGAUGUUGGACAUUGAGAAGGAUCUAGGAGGCCCUGAGGCUUGCAAACUACAUUCUCCAGUGACCCCUACAGAAAGGGCUGUUGUGUGUGUGUUGAGGGGGAGAUAAGCUGAAAGGGCUUUGUGCCCCAUGCCUGCUUCAACCAGAGCUCCCCCAUCCCUGGCUUUUAUUUGCUGGUAUUAAGUACUGAUCCAGUCACUUCAUUAGAAAUGAGAAGAUUGAGCCUGAGAAGGGGGCAUAAGUGGAUGUGGCUAUAUCAGGGAGUCAGAGAAGAUUCUACUGGGCAUGAGAAGUUCAUAUUCAUCUUCUGGGGAGGACGGAUGCCUAGGGGCCGAAGGCACACGAAGAAGAGAAUACUCAGUCCCGUUUCCGCCCAGCGACUCUCUGGGCCUCUCAGCCUUGAGGGGAACGUUCUCAUAGCACUCCUCAGCAGCGUUCCCUGAUGGCCUUUUCCCAAGGACGCUGUGAUUGAUGAGGGUGUAGCACAGAUCCUCCGAGGAGCCCUGGUCAACAUUCUCCUGCUGGUCAAAGGACAGACAUCAUCAAGACCUGGCCUCUUGCCAUUCCCUUUAUACUUCAUCUCAACAGAGGUUCAGCCUUGGGCAAAGUCUGUCUUCCAUGGCCGCUUCCCUUCCAUCUCUUGUGUCUGGUUUUCCUACAUGGCUGCCCCAGCCCAACCACUAGCCCAUGCUGCCAGAGUUCUCAUGCUGCUCAGAGAACUCAGCCUACUCAGGCAUGCAUUCUCUGCCCCACAUCCCAGAGUGACCCCAGACCACACUAUGUAAUUCCCAAAGUCUCAGGACCCUGAGGCUGCUCAGUCUUAUAUAAGAGAACAAUCUGAAGACACCUUAAAGUGCUUGGGUUAUGAUAUUUAACCACCCAUUCUAAAGAUAUCUGCAUUAGUAAAAAGAGAAUCCACUUAAGAGAAGGUCUCAUUCAGUGACAUCUCAGGAGAUAAAAAGCAAAACAGCAAGGUACAGGAGAAAGAGCAUGGAUUUGGGAGUGAGACUUGUUUUUGAAUCAUGCCCCUGCCAUCUUUUCGGCUGUCUGGCUUUGAGGGAACAUCACUUAAUGUCUCAGUUUUCUCAUCUGUAAAAUGGGUAGGAAAAUAAUAGUACAAAUCUUACAGGGUUGUUGUGACAGUUACAUGAGAUGAUGCAUGUGAAGCGCUCAGCCCCCUGCAUGGCAUAAACUAAGUGCUCAAUAAAUAUUAGUUCCUUUCAAUAAAUUGUGCAACAGAGAUGGCUGUUGCUUCUGCUGUCAGGCUCUGCAUAUGUCCCUGGGCUCACAAGCACUGGUGUCUAAAGAAUUCAAUAUUAAGGUCAGAAGGGGUCUUGGAGGUCUUCUGCUAUCUGAGGUGUCUGCAUUUCUACUGUCAUCUCAGAAAAAGUCUCAGAAAUGUUUGCAUUACCUGGAUGGGAGCAGGUGAUGUUUCUUCAUCUGGAGAAAGAAAAUACACUUAAUGAAUUUCAGGUCAUGGGGAGGUUUCUGGGAGGGGAGGAGAGGGGCACUGAAAGAUAAGCAACCAGAGAGCCAAGGAACAGAAGGGGUAGUCCUCCUCCAGCUAUCCUGAUCUUCAACACAUCCCUGGGGAGUGACAGGGCCAUCUAGCCAAGAAACAGCCAGAGCUGUGCUGAGACGCUGAGUGGAGGGAAACACAUUCAGUGGGUCUUUGGAUAGGAGAUCACACUUCCCUCCCUUCCUCACUCUUUCCUUCUCUGUCCUUCCUCACCUAAAAUUUGUUGCAUGUCUACCCUGUACCAGGAACUGGAGAGACAAAGAAGAAUCAGACAGUCCCUGUCCUCAGGGGGCUCACAGGCAAGCAUAGGAGGCAGUCAGGGGUCUAAGAGAGAUCCACAAUGCAGAGGAAAGCUGUCGUUUCUACUGUAGGUGACAGGGGACGGUGGCAGUGUGGAAGCUGGUGCUCAAGGAAAGCUUUACAGAGAAAGAAACUCUUAAACUGAGCAUUCCCAUUUUUGAGACUGCUGGCAGAAACAAACAUAAGCAGACCAAUUUUUCAAAAGCCAAUGUACUUAAAACCAGCUGGCUCUGGCCGCUCAGCAAAGAGGCAAACACACUAGCUCAAUGAGCAAACAUGAGAAUUCACAAAGAAGCCUCAUGAUAUCACCCUACGUGGGAGGUGGUUGUGCCGAUGCAGUCCACCUUGCUGUGUAAAGAUUUAUAUUCCCUCAGUACUGACAUUCCAGAUUCUCACAUCUCUAUAAAUUCCCCUGCUUAUCUAGGACUUCCGUGACUAUCGUUGCAAGAAAAGGGUCUGUGGGGAUCCAAGAUGGUGGUGUAGGAAGACCCUACAGUCAGCACCUCCUGUGGACACACCAAAUCUACACCUACGUACAGAGCAAUUCUUUCUGAAGAAGAACUGAGGGCUGACUGAACAGCUUUGCACAAUAAAUGACAUAAGGACCAAAUAGAGAUGGGUAGGAGAGACGGUAUGGGCAGGAACCCCAUCCUUGAUACAGCAACAUGCAGGAGGGAGGGGUAUC